AGUGAACGCUGGCGGUAGGCCUAACACAUGCAAGUCGAACGGCAGCACAGUAAGAGCUUGCUCUUACGGGUGGCGAGUGGCGGACGUGUGAGGAAUACAUCGGAAUCUACUUUUUCGUGGGGGAUAACGUAGGUAAACUUACGCUAAUACCGCAUACUACCUACGGGUGAAAGCAGGGGAUCUUCGGACCUUGCGCGAUUGAAUGGGCCGAUGUCGGAUUAGCUAGUUGGCGGGGUAAAGGCCCACCAAGGCGACGAUCCGUAGCUGGUCUGAGAGGCUGAUCGGCGACACUGGAACUGAGACACGGUCCAGACUCCUAAGGGAGGCAGCAGUGGGGAAUAUUGGACAAUGGGCGCAAGCCUGAUACAGCCAUACCGCGUGGGUGAAGAAGGCCUUCGGGUUGUAAAGCCCUUUUGUUGGGAAAGAAAAGCAGCAGGUUAAUACCCCGCUGUUCUGACGGUACCCAAAGAAUAAGCACCGGCUAACUUCGUG
rnacentral:rRNA from 1 species